GCAAACUUGGUCAUUUAGAGGAAGUAAAAGUCGUAACAAGGUUUCCGUAGGUGAACCUGCGGAAGGAUCAUUAAAGAAACACCAAGGCGAAGGUUGUCGCUGGCCCGUCAAAGGGCAUGUGCACGCCCGAGCCGUUUCAUCCACACACCCCUGUGAACUUGAAGUGGGUCUUUGGGAAACCGAAGGCUCAUGUCUUUUACCAACCACGUAUGUCUCAGAAUGUAACGUUAAAGCCUCUUCGGAGGUAUAAAUGCAUAUAACUUUCAACAACGGAUCUCUUGGCUCUCGCAUCGAUGAAGAACGCAGC
rnacentral:misc_RNA from 1 species